AAAAAAGUUAUAAUUUCAAAAUUACUUAUUGUACAAUUAACACUCUCUUCAAUACAAUAAAAGAGGUUGAUUGCAAAUAAUGGAGAAGCAUGCAGUGCCCAACAUGCCCAAUACACAGCAAGUAUUAGAAGAUAUAUUAAAUAACGAGCUUGAGGAAUUUUCUACAGAUUUUGAUGUUUUUCAUGAUGAUUACUCCGAAUUACGGAAUGCCUAUGAAUGUUACCGAAAUUUCAAACAGCUACAGGAAAAUGUCAUAGAACAAGAUGGACUGAAUUCUAAGAUAAUUCAAUUAAAUGAAAAGUUAGCUGAAAAUGUAGCUAAUAUGAAAAAACAAAAAUAGAAGAUGAAGCAAGAAUAGUUUUUUCUUUAUUAAAGAUAUUGAUAUUGAUUUGAUAUCAUGGCACAAAUAUAUAAUGACACACAAUCACAUAGUCAUCAAAGAACAUGAAAGAGGUAUUAGAAGUACACUAUUAAUUGAUACAAGCUAUUGAUUAAAAAUAUAUUUAUUCUUAAGUUAAUAUAAUAAAUAAGGCAAAA